UAAGGAAUAUUGGUCAAUGGACGCAAGUCUGAACCAGCCAUGCCGCGUGAAGGAUGAAGGUCCUCUGGAUUGUAAACUUCUUUUAUCUGGGACGAAAACGGGAUUUUUAUCUCAAUUGACGGUACCAGAGGAAUAAGCACCGGCUAACUUCGUGCCAGCAGCCGCGGUAAUACGAAGGAUGCAAGCGUUAUCCGGAAUUAUUGGGUUUAAAGGGUGCGUAGGCGGACUAAUAAGUCAGUGGUGAAAGCCUGCAGCUUAACUGCAGAAUUGCCAUUGAUACUGUUAGUCUUGAGUACAGUUGAGGUAGGCGGAAUGUGUCAUGUAGCGGUGAAAUGCUUAGAUAUGACACAGAACACCGAUUGCGAAGGCAGCUUGCUAAGCUGUAACUGACGCUGAGGCACGAAAGCGUGGGGAGCAAACA
rnacentral:rRNA from 1 species